rnacentral:rRNA from 1 species
UACGUAGGGUGCGAGCGUUAAUCGGAAUUACUGGGCGUAAAGCGUGCGCAGGCGGUCUGUUAAGACCGAUGUGAAAUCCCCGGGCUUAACCUGGGAACUGCAUUUGUGACUGUAGAGCUGGAGUACGGCAGAGGGGGAUGGAAUUCCGCGUGUAGCAGUGAAAUGCGUAGAUAUGCGGAGGAACACCGAUGGCGAAGGCAAUCCCCUGGGCCUGCACUGACGCUCAUGCACGAAAGCGUGGGAGCAACAGG